GACGAACGCUGGCGGCGUGCCUAAUACAUGCAAGUAGAACGCUGAAGGAGGAGCUUGCUCUUCUGGAUGAGUUGCGAACGGGUGAGUAACGCGUAGGUAACCUGCCUGGUAGCGUGGGAUAACUAUUGGAAACGAUAGCUAAUACCGCAUAACAGUAGAUGUUGCAUGACAUUUACUUAAAAGGUGCAAUUGCAUCACUACCAGAUGGACCUGCGUUGUAUUAGCUAGUUGGUGGGGUAACGGCUCACCAAGGCGACGAUACAUAGCCGACCUGAGAGGGUGAACGGCCACACUGGGAAUGAGACACGGCCCAGAAUCCGUCGGGAGGCAGCAGUAGGGAAUCUUCGGCAAUGGGCGGAAGUCUGACCGAGCAACGCCGCGUGAGUGAAGAAGGUUUUCGGAUCGUAAAGCACUGUUGUAAGAGAAGAAAGAGUGUGAGAGUGGAAAGUUCACACUGUGACGGUAUCUUACCAGAAAGGGACGGCUAACUACGUG
rnacentral:rRNA from 1 species